UGCAUAAUCAGUUCUUUGGUUGGGUCCACGGGCCAGUUCUCUCCUUCACGCUCCGAAGGAACCGAAUCCCGCAACGAAAACAAACCCAUCUCAGGUCCCCCCUCAAACCUUCCUUCUCCGCUUGGACCCCAACGGACACCAAAAGCACAGUUUUAGAAGACCAGUGCGGUGUGUGGGAUGGCUCAGAAAAGUCUGCCUUGGCUGAGGAGAGGCAGGCAGAGGGGACUCUGUUGCCCACGGAGACAUUAUGCAAGUAAGU